rnacentral:rRNA from 1 species
ACCAAGCUUCCAGGAAAAGCCACUAAGCUUCAGUCUAGAGUUGACCGUACCGCAAACCGACACAGGUGGGCAGGAUGAAAAUUCUAAGGCGCUUGAGAGAACUCAGGAGAAGGAACUCGGCAAAUUAACACCGUAACUCCGGGAGAAGGUGUGCCCCGGUAGCGUGUAGAGACUUGCUCUCGAAGCGCGAUGGGGUUGCAGUGAAAUGGUGGCUGCGACUGUUUAAUAAAAACACAGCACUCUGCAAACACGAAAGUGGACGUAUAGGGUGUGACGCCUGCCCGGUGCCGGAAGGUUAAGUGAUGGGGUGCAAGCUCUUGAUCGAAGCCCCGGUAAACGGCGGCCGUAACAAUAACGGUCCUAAGGUAGCGAAAUUCCUUGUCGGGUAAGUUCCGACCUGCACGAAUGGCGUAACGAUGGCCACACUGUCUCCUCCUGGGACUCAGCGAAGUUGAAAUGUUUGUGAAGAUGCAAUCUACCCGCGGCUAGACGGAAAGACCCCAUGAACCUUUACUGUAGCUUUGCAUUGGACUUUGAACCGGUUUGUGUAGGAUAGGUGGGAGACUGUGAAGCCGGGACGCUAGUUUCGGUGGAGUCAACCUUGAAAUACCACCCUGAGUUGUUUGAGGUUCUAACCUUGGUCCGUGAAUCCGGAUCGGGGACCGUGCAUGGUAGGCAGUUUGACUGGGGCGGUCUCCUCCCAAAAGGUAACGGAGGAGUACGAAGGUACGCUUAGGGCGGUCGGACAUCGCCCACAAAGUGCAAUGGCAAAAGCGUGCUUGACUGCGAGACCCACAAGUCGAGCAGGUACGAAAGUAGGUCAUAGUGAUCCGGUGGUUCUGUAUGGAAGGGCCAUCGCUCAACGGAUAAAAGGUACUCUGGGGAUAACAGGCUAAUUCCUCCCAAGAGUUCAUAUCGACGGGGGAGUUUGGCACCUCGAUGUCGGCUCAUCACAUCCUGGGGCUGUAGUCGGUCCCAAGGGUAUGGCUGUUCGCCAUUUAAAGUGGUACGCGAGCUGGGUUUAAAACGUCGUGAGACAGUUUGGUCCCUAUCUGCCGUGGGCGCUGGAAAUUUGAAGGGGGCUGCUCCUAGUACGAGAGGACCGGAGUGGACGAACCUCUGGUGUACCGGUUAUGACGCCAGUCGUAUCGCCGGGUAGCUAAGUUCGGAAGAGAUAAACGCUGAAAGCAUCUAAGCGUGAAACUCGCCUUAAGAUAAGAUUUCCCGGAGUCUUGAACUCCCUGAAGGGUCGUCGAAGACCACGACGUUGAUAGGUCAGGUGUGGAAGCGCAGCAAUGCGUUAAGCUAACUGAUACUAAUUGCCCGUGCGGCUUGAUCC